UAACUCUCAUUCAUCGUCCGCCAUCACAGAGUUUUUGACAGGAUUUCAUAGGUUUCAGGAACUGCAAAUCGGAAUGAGAUAAAAACACUCACUAUGGAACUGCAGGAUGUGUUUUAUUCGAAUGCCGAAUAUAUUGAAACGGCAUCAGGAAACAAAGUCAGUCGGCAGUCUGUACUCUGUGGCAGCCAGAACAUUGUCAUCAAUGGAAAGACAAUCAUAAUGACCGACUGUGUGAUACGAGGGGACCUGGCCAAUGUCAGGAUAGGUCGUCACUGUGUCAUCAACAAAGGAGCUGUGAUCAGGCCAGCGUUUAAGAAGUUCAGCAAAGGUGUCGCGUUCUUCCCCUUGCAUAUAGGUGAUCAUGUGUUGAUUGAAGAAGACUCCAUUAUCAACGCAGCUCAGGUUGGGUCCUAUGUUCAUAUAGGCAAGAACUGCAUCAUUGGUCGUCGAUCUGUCCUCAAGGACUGCUGUGCCAUAGCUGAUAAUACAGUGUUGCCGCCAGAAACAGUUGUCCCCUCUUUCACAGUCUUUUCAGGAUCACCAGGUAAAUGCAAUGGGGAGCUACCAGAGUGUACCCAGGAUCUGAUGGUGGACGUCACUGUCAACUACUACCAGCAUUUUCGAGCAAUGGGAAAGGGAAAAGCCUAGCUUCAGUCACCUGGUCACACAGGGACCUGACAUUCAUCUAUUUAUUUGUAUAUUGCUUGCAUCAACAUUUCCUUGGUAAAUUCGGAGAGACUCAUGCUGAAAUCCUCAUUUUAUAUAGCUGUUUCUUGACAUUUGGGCAGAUAUCAAAUGUGUUACAUGUUAUACUGUCAAACACUGCCGAACUUUGAUGAUUCAGACUUCCGACUGUCUUGAAGUAAAAGCUUGUCCAUCAUUUCUUCUUCAAACAUCAUUUUGCGUUUGUGUUAAACGUUGGAUAGCUCAGAGUGUUUUUGUAGGCCCGUUCAUCUUCAACACAAUGAAUGGUCUGGUAUGUCAUUCUGCUUUAAAACUAUACUGGACAUGUUUGGGAAUAAUACCUGAUCCAAAGUGGAGGUGUAUUUAAUUAUGGCAGUUUCAAAACAGCACUGUUCAUGCAUAAAAUGAUUUAUAGAGCAUGAUUUGUUGCAUAGUGUUUUGGAAGCAUAGGUGGACGUCACUGUCAACUACUACCAGCAUUUUAGAGCAAUGGGAAAGGGAAAAGCCUAGCUUCAGGUGGCCUAGAGUUGUGGCCCUUAGUUGAUGAAGGAUCCUUUAACUGUUUAUAAAUCCCAGACUCCCAUUAUUUAAAUCCUUGGUUUGCCAGCUCAUACCUGUGUUUGUGGGUUUCAUCAACAUGGUAAAUGUGUCUGAAUGGCACCAGCGAUUUCCUGCCACGUGAAGCUGACAACCAUGUGACUGAAAUGCUUUCGUUAAACGCAACUCACUGUAUAUUGUUUCAGUUUUGUUUCAUGAAUAAAUAUGCAUUUCCUGGGCUAUAUGGUCUCUUGUGUUAAAUGCUUGUGCAAUAUAUUUUCGUUGUUUACAUAUUGAUUACAACAUGGUGAUUAUAGCUUACUUCAUUAUGACUUAUCAUUGCAGCCUUAGAAAUAUCGAACUUUUACGUUUGAGUACAGCUUCUGAAAACUUUGAGACAUUUAAAGGCCAAUUUGUUGUCAUGAAAGAUAAGUUUAUUUAUGACAUCUAAAAUACAAGUAAAUUUAUGUUUGGUUGCAAAGCGACAAUGAAAUUCUUCAAUAUAUUUCUUUCAAUAAAAACUCGAUGUUACCUCAA
rnacentral:misc_RNA from 1 species